CCUGGCUCAGGAUGAACGCUAGCGGCAGGCCUAAUACAUGCAAGUCGAGGGGCAACAGGAAUAGCAAUAUUGCUGGCGACCGGCGCACGGGUGCGUAACACGUAUACAAUCUGCCUUUAACAGGGGGAUAGCCCGGAGAAAUCCGGAUUAAUACCCCAUAACAGAUCGAAUGGCAUCAUUUGAUUUUGAAAGCUCCGGCGGUUAAAGAUGAGUAUGCGUCUGAUUAGCUAGAUGGUGAGGUAACGGCUCACCAUGGCGACGAUCAGUAGGGGAUCUGAGAGGAUUAACCCCCACACGGAUACUGAGACACGGAUCCGACUCCUACGGGAGGCAGCAGUAAGGAAUAUUGGACAAUGCCCGCAAGGGUGAUCCAGCCAUGCCGCGUGCAGGAAGACAGCCCUAUGGGUCGUAAACUGCUUUUACACCGGAGAAAACCCCCCUACGUGUAGGGGGCUGAUAGUAUGGUGAGAAUAAGCAUCGGCUAACUUCGUG
rnacentral:rRNA from 1 species